rnacentral:rRNA from 1 species
GAGUUUGAUCUUGGCUCAGAUUGAACGCUGGCGGCGUGCUUAACACAUGCAAGUCGAGCGGCAGCGCGGUAGCAAUACUGGCGGCGAGCGGCGAACGGGUGAGUAAUGCUUCGGAAUCUUCCUCGUAGUGGGGAAUAACCUGGGGAAACUCAGGCUAAUACCGCAUACGAACUACGGUUGAAAGCAGGGGAUCGCAAGACCUUGCGCUAUGAGAUGAGCCGAAGUCGGAUUAGCUAGUUGGUAGGGUAACGGCCUACCAAGGCGACGAUCCGUAGCUGGUCUGAGAGGACGACCAGCCACACUGGGACUGAGACACGGCCCAGACUCCUACGGGAGGCAGCAGUGGGGAAUAUUGGACAAUGGGGGCAACCCUGAUCCAGCGACGCCGCGUGUGUGAAGAAGGCCUGCGGGUUGUAAAGCACUUUUAGUGGGGAUGAAAAGCCGAAGGCUAAUACCUUUCGGUCUUGACCUAACCCAAAGAAAAAGCACCGGCUAACUCUGUGCCAGCCGCCG